UAGGGAAUCUUCGGCAAUGGGGGCAACCCUGACCGAGCAACGCCGCGUGAGUGAAGAAGGUUUUCGGAUCGUAAAGCUCUGUUGUAAGAGAAGAACGUGUGUGAGAGUGGAAAGUUCACACAGUGACGGUAACUUACCAGAAAGGGACGGCUAACUACGUGCCAGCAGCCGCGGUAAUACGUAGGUCCCGAGCGUUGUCCGGAUUUAUUGGGCGUAAAGCGAGCGCAGGCGGUUUAAUAAGUCUGAAGUUAAAGGCAGUGGCUUAACCAGUGUGCGCUUUGGAAACUGUUAAACUGGAGUGCAGAAGGGGAGAGUGGAAUUCCAUGUGUAGCGGUGAAAUGCGUAGAUAUAUGGAGGAACACCGGUGGCGAAAGCGGCUCUCUGGUCUGUAACUGACGCUGAAGCUCGAAAGCGUGGGGAGCAAACAGG
rnacentral:rRNA from 1 species